UUACGGUUAGAUCACUUUGCAAACAGUGGUUCCUGUACGAUCACCAAAGUUAAGCAACGUCGAGUCUGGUCAGUACCCAAAUGGGUGACCGCUUGUGAAUAUCAAGUAAU